GGGUGCCCUGCCUGGGGUGCCUCUUUGUAAAAAUGUCUGUUGAUGCUGUGGAUCAGACGUGGGAAGACCUUGAAUCCAAAUCAGAGUCAGAGAGCUCCAGGGUGCACAUUCCACGGGAGCCAAAGGCCGAGCUGGCCCCUGGCUGAGGGAGGCAGGGUGGCAGAAUGGUCAGAGCUUUGGGCUGAGAGGUGAAAGGUCACAUUUCUAUUCUGGCCUCGCCAUGGUCCUCCCGAUGGGACUCGGCCUCCUUCGCGAGGUCUCCCCAGUUAGCCAUCAAGGGAAAUAGUUUGCUGUGAACCCUUGAAGGUGCAGACCGAGGAAGCGUGAGUUGGGCUAUCUUCAGCUCCUCAUCCUCAAUUUUCCUUUCUUUGAACGGAUUUUUCCGGCUCGGAAAAACUGAGCUCUGCUAGCCUUGGAACACACACGCUCUCUCUCUCCCGGCCGAACUGCUGUGUCAGCGUCAGCUAGUGGUUGAGGAUGGCUCCAGAUGGAGCACUCAUUAACUCCCGGAGCAGCGGCCCCGGGUCCCCCCGGGUCACCUCCCCAGAGCACACAGGCUGAGCUUUCUCUCCGAGGCCGCUGACAGUCCCACCUUGUCCCAGCCCUGCGAUUUACAGGAGCCAGUGGUUGACACAAGUUCCCGCUCGGCGUGGGCUCGUGGGCCCGUGGGCUCCACCGACGCCAAGAGCCACAGAGACGGCUGCCGCCCGCCUGCCCCUCACUCUCAGCAGCAGCAUUGUUUGUCAGCUCUGCGGUCUUUCUGCCUGGAGCACUCAGCGCUCUCUCCAUUGACCCCGCUUGCGUGUGCUGCCUCCCGCCAGGAUCCUGAGUGGGACAACGUCUGUAGACCUCAUUUGGCCCUGGGUUCGGAUCCGAUCCCCUAACUGGGCCAGAAGUUUCCCCUGAAGCCUGUGCCGAGGAACCCCUGAUCUCUGCUUGCCGCUGUGUCCUGUCCCCCCAGGGCUGGUUGUUUACCAUCUUCCGUUAUCACCCUUCGUUGCUUGACUCUCCACAAGUCCCUCUUCAGUGUGGGCUGAAAUCUCCCUCUGGAGCUUCCG
rnacentral:lncRNA from 1 species